rnacentral:rRNA from 1 species
GAUGAACGCUAGCUACAGGCUUAACACAUGCAAGUCGAGGGGUAACGAGAGGAAAGCUUGCUUUCCUUGUCGACGACCGGCGCACGGGUGAGUAACGCGUAUCCAACCUGCCCCCAACUAAGGAAUAACCUUGCGAAAGUAAGACUAAUACCUUAUAAUUUCCUCAGAUGUCAUCUGACGAGGAAUAAAGAUUUAUCGGUUGGUGAUGGGGAUGCGUCUGAUUAGCUUGUUGGCGGGGUAACGGCCCACCAAGGCAACGAUCAGUAGGGGUUCUGAGAGGAAGGUCCCCCACAUUGGAACUGAGACACGGUCCAAACUCCUACGGGAGGCAGCAGUGAGGAAUAUUGGUCAAUGGGCGGAAGCCUGAACCAGCCAAGUAGCGUGCAGGAUGACGGCCCUAUGGGUCGUAAACUGCUUUUAUACAGGAAUAAAGUUAGCCACGUGUGGUUAUUUGUAGGUACUGUAUGAAUAAGGACCGGCUAAUUCCGUGCCAGCAGCCGCCGUAA